rnacentral:rRNA from 1 species
UACGUAGGGUCCGAGCGUUGUCCGGAAUUAUUGGGCGUAAAGGGCUCGUAGGCGGUCCGUCACGUCGGGAGUGAAAACUCAGGGCUCAACCCUGAGCGUGCUUCCGAUACGGGCGGACUAGAGGUAUGCAGGGGAGAACGGAAUUCCUGGUGUAGCGGUGGAAUGCGCAGAUAUCAGGAGGAACACCGGUGGCGAAGGCGGUUCUCUGGGCAUUACCUGACGCUGAGACGCGAAAGCGUGGGGAGCGAACAGG